UACGGGGGGGGCAAGCGUUGUUCGGAAUUACUGGGCGUAAAGGGCUCGUAGGCGGCCAACUAAGUCAUACGUGAAAUCCCUCGGCUUAACCGGGGAACUGCGUCUGAUACUGGAUGGCUUGAGAUUGGGAGAGGGAUGCGGAAUUCCAGGUGUAGCGGUGAAAUGCGUAGAUAUCUGGAGGAACACCGGUGGCGAAGGCGGCAUCCUGGACUGACACUGACGCUGAGGCGCGAGAGCGUGGGGAGCAAACAGG
rnacentral:rRNA from 1 species